UAAAGUAUACCCGAAUCAUCCAAUUUCCUACACCUUUAGAGCAAUUCAAAUGAGGUACAGCCCAUUUGAUCCAGGAUACAACCUUCCAUAAUGGGUAAUAUUCAACUUCACCACCCCAAGUAGGCUUAAUAGCAGCCACCUUUUAAAAAGCGUCAAAGCUUAAUCCAACUUUACUAAUUUAAAAAAUUAUAUCAACCCCUUUAAUCAUAUUGAGAACUUCUAUAACUCUAUAGAACCUUUUAUGCUAAAACUAGUAACAAGGGGUAAACCCCCUCCUAAAUGCAAGUGUAAGCCAACAAGAACCCACCAUUGGCAACUAACAGAUACAAAGUAGCAACUCCCACUAGAAAACCCUGCCCAACCCCCUGUUAACCUAACACAAGAUCAUUUCAAGAAAGAUUAAAAGAAAAAAAAGGAACUCGGCAAAUCCUAGCCCCGCCUGUUUACCAAAAACAUCGCCUCUUGCCCACAUAAGAGGUCCAGCCUGCCCAGUGACCCCGUUCAACGGCCGCGGUAUCCUAACCGUGCGAAGGUAGCGUAAUCACUUGUCUUCCAAAUAAAGACUAGUAUGAAAGGCACCACGAGGGCUAAACUGUCUCCUCUUUCUAAUCCGUGAACCUAAUCUCCCCGUGAAGAA
rnacentral:rRNA from 1 species